UACGUAGGGGGCAAGCGUUGUCCGGAUUUAUUGGGCGUAAAGAGCGUGUAGGCGGCCAGACAGGUCCGUUGUGAAAACUAGAGGCAUAACCUCUAGACGUCGAUGGAAACCGUCUGGCUAGAGUCCGGAAGAGGAGAAUGGAAUUCCUGGUGUAGCGGUGAAAUGCGCAGAUAUCAGGAAGAACACCCGUGGCUAAGGCGGUUCUCUAGUACGGUACUGACGCUGAGACGCGAAAGCGUGGGGAGCGAACAGG
rnacentral:rRNA from 1 species